rnacentral:rRNA from 1 species
CAGCAGUGAGGAAUAUUGGACAAUGGACGCAAGUCUGAUCCAGCCAUGCCGCGUGCAGGAUGACUGCCCUAUGGGUUGUAAACUGCUUUUAUAUAGGAAGAAACCCCCGAACGUGUUCGGGGCUGACGGUACUAUACGAAUAAGGACCGGCUAACUCCGUGCCAGCAGCCGCGGUAAUACGGAGGGUCCAAGCGUUAUCCGGAUUCAUUGGGUUUAAAGGGUCCGUAGGCGGGAAAAUAAGUCAGUGGUGAAAUCCUGCAGCUCAACUGUAGAACUGCCAUUGAAACUGUUUUUCUUGAAUGUAGAUGAAGUGGGCGGAAUGUGUCAUGUAGCGGUGAAAUGCAUAGAUAUGACACAGAACACCGAUUGCGAAGGCAGCUCACUAAACUAUUAUUGACGCUGAGGGACGAAAGUGUGGGGAGCGAACAGGAUUAGAUACCCUGGUAGUCCACACCGUAAACGAUGAUUACUCGGUGCUAGCCAUAUACUGUUAGUGCCUAAGCGAAAGCGAUAAGUAAUCCACCUGGGGAGUACGU